ACGCUGGCGGCGUGCCUAAUACAUGCAAGUCGAGCGAAGUUUUUCUGGUGCUUGCACUAGAAAAACUUAGCGGCGAACGGGUGAGUAACACGUAAAGAACCUGCCUCAUAGACUGGGACAACUAUUGGAAACGAUAGCUAAUACCGGAUAACAGCAUUAACUGCAUGGUUGAUGUUUGAAAGUUGGUUUUGCUAACACUAUGAGAUGGCUUUGCGGUGCAUUAGCUAGUUGGUGGGGUAAAGGCCUACCAAGGCGACGAUGCAUAGCCGACCUGAGAGGGUGAUCGGCCACACUGGGACUGAGACACGGCCCAGACUCCUACGGGAGGCAGCAGUAGGGAAUCUUCCGCAAUGGGCGAAAGCCUGACGGAGCAACGCCGCGUGAGUGAAGAAGGAUUUCGGUUCGUAAAGCUCUGUUGUUAGGGAAGAAUGAUUGUGUAGUAACUAUACACAGUAGAGACGGUACCUAACCAGAAAGCCACGGCUAACUACGUGCCGGCAGCCGCGGUAAUACGUAGGUGGCAAGCGUUGUCCGGAAUUAUUGGGCGUAAAGAGCGCGCAGGUGGUUUAAUAAGUCUGAUGUGAAAGCCCACGGCUCAACCGUGGAGGGUCAUUGGAAACUGUUAAACUUGAGUGCAGGAGAGAAAAGUGGAAUUCCUAGUGUAGCGGUGAAAUGCGUAGAGAUUAGGAGGAACACCAGUGGCGAAGGCGGCUUUUUGGCCUGUAACUGACACUGAGGCGCGAAAGCGUGGGGAGCAAACAGGAUUAGAUACCCUGGUAGUCCACGCCGUAAACGAUGAGUGCUAAGUGUUGGUCUCAUAAGAGAUCAGUGCUGCAGUCAACGCAUUAAGCACUCCGCCUGGGGAGUACGACCGCAAGGUUGAAACUCAAAGGAAUUGACGGGGACCCGC
rnacentral:rRNA from 1 species